rnacentral:tRNA from 1 species
UGGCACGUAGCUCAACUGGAUGAGCACCACGCUACGAACGUGGAGGAUGGAGGUUCGAACCCUCUCGUGCCAG